UCACAGCUGUCCCCACUUCCUUUCCUCUUCAGAGAGUACACACUAGAUGUGUACAGACUCUCCUCCGUGGUCACACAGCACGAUGCCAAGAAAGCUGGGGCUGAGGUGGUAAAGCAGGUGGAGCACCCUUUGCUGAGUGGUCUGCUGUACCCCGGAUUACAGGCCUUGGAUGAAGAGUAUUUGAAAGUAGAUGCCCAGUUUGGAGGUGUUGAUCAGAGAAAGAUUUUUACCUUUGCAGAGAAGUACCUCCCUGCACUUGGCUACUCAAAACGGGUCCAUCUGAUGAAUCCUAUGGUUCCAGGAUUAACUGGCAGUAAAAUGAGCUCCUCAGAAGAGGUACGUUUUCCAGCUCUGAC